rnacentral:lncRNA from 1 species
AGAACAUCUUAUCUAAUAGCAUUACAAAUACUAUAACUACUAAGUUCCAACUUGAAGUGUUCAACCUUGAUCUAGUGCUAGUUAGGCACUAUUUCAGAUUGUAAUUUGGCUCUGCCACCCAAAUCAAUUUGAUGUGUUCUUUCCAGGUGAAUGGUUUUCAUCAAGGAAUACUUAAAUUGGCAAUGGAACCUACGCUACUGGGGAGUGCUUUCAUGGAAGGUGGCCCUGAUCGAAAAAUUGGGCUUGAUCGAAGUCCUGGGGUUGAUGAGGUACAAUGCAUUCACGGAUGAUUGCUUAUCCAUUUCAACUUCUUUCUGUUAGAGAUAACAGAUGCUGGUGGAUGCAAACUUCUGUUGUUUGAGUGGGAUAAAUCAAUGCUCCAUUUUAUGUGCCAUCCGGAAAUAUUCGGACUGUUUGGUCAAAGCUCAGCUGAGAUGGUAGUGUUGAUUGACAUAACUGGCAUGGUUUUGGUGCAGCUCAGCGAGCUUUUAACUCAUGUCUAACUUGCCACUCACCCUGGAUCUUCAUGACUCAUCUAUCAUGUAAAAGGGGAAGAGGAUGAUUUUUAUCAUGGAAGGAAUCAGUUUAUACGACAUUGAAUAACCGCACUUUAAACUGCAUAAAACCUGUAUAAUGGUGAACCAAAUAACUGUUGAUGGAGUAAAAAAUAUCAGCUAUAGACUACAUGGCAUUAACUUCAGGUGCAACGACUCAUCAUUUCUGUAGGCCUAAAAGUUGUAAUAUGGCCUACAGGAAUCUAAUUAGAUCAACCAUAAUCUGUUUCUUAUCAAAUAAAUGGCCUACAGGAAUCUAAGUAAGAUCAACCAUAAUCUGUUUCCUAUCAAAGAAAAUGGCCUACAGGGAUCCAAAUUCCUUUGGAUGAAAGAAUCUAGCUAGAUGGCUCUGAAGAGCUUGGAAAUUUUAAAGAUAGUUGUUGACGAAGCAUCUGAUUUCUAUCUGAGGGUCUGUUGUCAGGCUAACAAUGAACAUCUCCUGCUAAUUCUGUUACAUAUCUGCUGUUAUUGCUCUUGUUGUCAGUGUGACAGUUUAGUUGGUGCUCUCUCUUCUGUUGGUUUUGGGGGUUAUACAAACAUCUAGUGCUGAAUAUUUCAAUGCACUGCAGUUACUGUCAUCUCAUAUCUAAUGUGUGUUUAUGAGGUUAUAGUUAUUCUAGCAUAUUAAAGCAUCAAAUUUUAGUGACCCUUUCGGUUGUAAUGCAGCUAUACAUUGAAGGGUAUCUCCAAGCCAUGUUAGAUACAUUGUAUAAGCAAGAAUACCUGAGAGUCAGAGUCAUUGACAACCAGGUAACUAAAUUAUGUUCUCUCUGCGUGUGUGGUUUGCCCUUUUCAAAGAUAUGCCAAAAUUAAAAACUUGUAGCACUGCUUUUUAUUUACUUAUAAAUAUGCCGCGGCUGAAAACUUCUAGCACUGUAGUUACGUUCUUCAUGAGACUGAUUUUUUUUGUCAGAACUACAGUAAAAUUAGUAAUACACUAGGGUAUCUAGCCUGCUUAGCUCAAAUUUCCGUUCAUAGCAAAUUAAGUGCCACAUGUAGUGAUGCCAAUCUCAAAAUGCAACAUAAAUUGCAAAUGGCUUUUAUGUUCUUUAUGUUGUGAAGGUUAUCCUGAAGAACCUACCACCAAGCAGUUCUCUUAUAGAUGAGAUUGUGGAACGUGUGAAGGGAUUUCUUGUUAGCAAAACAUUGUUGAAAGGAGAUACUUCAACAGCUGCUCGUCCCUUGCGCCACAUGAGGGGGGAACGUGUGAGUAUUACUUUUUUUCCCCUUUCAUUCUUCUAUGACCAGAUAAUUGUGGACUGAAUGGUUUUUGUGAUCAACAUAUGAACUUUCCUGAUAUAGCAUUAUUAUCUCCGUGCUCCAUUACUGAUCAGUCGUUCCAAUUUACGAGCACUCUUUGCACUAAUUCUACUUGGUAAAUUGAGGAAUUUUGACCUCUCUGCUAUAUUCUCAUCUUCAAGUUUUUUUUUAACGUAUGCCCCAAAGAAAUAUGACUUGUUCUUCAAUUCUGUUGGUUUGACACUGCUAUUAAUGUUUAUUGCUUUAGGAAUGGCGAGUAGUACCAACAGUGCUGACCUUGUGUGAACACCUUUUUGUGAGUUUUGCAAUUCGGAUGCUACGGAAGCAAGCUAGUAAAGCAGUUGGGAAAAUGAAUUGGAAGCAGAAAGUGGAAGGUGAUGAUGAGAAAGCCAUUGUACCUGCAUCAGGACAAAAGCUCGACUUUGUAUGGAAAUGGGGAAUUGGAAAUUUUGUUCUAUCAGGGAUUCUAGCAUAUGUCGAUGGACGAUUAUGUCGCUAUAUAUCUAAUCCUAUAGCUAGAAGGAUUGUUAGUGGCUUCCUAUUAAGUUUCCUGGAGAGAAAUGACAAAUAACAUUUUCUUUUCUUAAGCUUUUUCGAGGUAAAAUAAAUAGCAAGUGCAUUUUAUUCAUAUGAGAGGAUAAUAGAUGGUCCUUACCCUUUCAUUUUUAUUAGUGUGUUCUAUCUGUAAUGGAAUUAAAUGUACAUAACAAAGCAAAAAUAAGUAAAUGUUUUUUUGUCUUCCUAUAUGUUACCUGUACAAGAAUUUACUUUGUACAGAAUGUUGUGAAAUUGAAUGAAGUCGAUGUCUG